AGGUUACUGCUAUCGGGGUUCGAUUAAGCCAUGCGAGUCAAAUGUUCUUCGUGAACAUGGCGAACUGCUCAGUAACACGUGGAUAAUCUACCCUUAGGUCUGGAAUAACCCCGGGAAACUGGGGAUAAUACCGGAUAGAUCAUAGAUGCUGGAAUGCUCUAUGGUCCAAAGCUCCGGCGCCUAAGGAUGAGUCUGCGGUCUAUCAGGUUGUAGUGGGUGUAACGUACCUACUAGCCGACGACGGAUACGGGUUGUGAGAGCAAGAGCCCGGAGAUGGAUUCUGAGACACGAAUCCAGGCCCUACGGGGUGCAGCAGGCGCGAACACUUUACAAUGCGGGAAACCGCGAUAAGGGAACCCCGAGUGCCAGCACCAAGUGUUGGCUGUCCAGAUGAUUAAAUCUCAUUUGUUAGCAAGGGCCGGGCAAGACCGGUGCCAGCCGCCGCGGUAACACCGGCGGCCCGAGUGGUAACCGUUUUUAUUGGGUCUAAAGGGUCCGUAGCCGGUCUAAUCAGUCUUUUGGGAAAUCUGGCAGCUUAACUGUCAGGCUUCUAAGAGAUACUGUUAGGCUUGGGACUGGGAGAGGUAAGGGGUACUCCAAGGGUAGGAGUGAAAUCUUGUAAUCCUUGGGGGACCAUCUGUGGCGAAGGCGCCUUACCAGAACGGGUCCGACGGUGAGGGACGAAAGCUAGGGGAGCAAACCGGAUUAGAUACCCGGGUAGUCCUAGCUGUAAACGAUGCUCGCUAGGUGUCANGCACGGUGCGUCCGUGUUUGGUGCCGUAGGGAAGCCGAGAAGCGAGCCACCUGGGAAGUACGGUCGCAAGGCUGAAACUUAAAGGAAUUGGCGGGGGAGCACUACAACGGGUGGAGCCUGCGGUUUAAUUGGAUUCAACGCCGGAAAACUCACCGGGUGCGACAGCAACAUGUAGGUCAGGCUGAAGGUCUUACCUGAAUCGCUGAGAGGAGGUGCAUGGCCGUCGUCAGUUCGUACUGUGAAGCAUCCUGUUAAGUCAGGCAACGAGCGAGACCCGCGCCCACAGUUGCCAGCAUGUUCUCCGGAACGAUGGGCACACUGUGGGGACCGCCGCUGCUAAAGCGGAGGAAGGAACGGGCUACGGUAGGUCAGUAUGCCCCGAAUCUCCCGGGCUACACGCGGGCUACAAUGGUUGGGACAAUGGGCACCUACCCCGAAAGGGGACGGUAAUCUCGAAACCCAACCGUAGUUCGGAUUGAGGGCUGUAACUCGCCCUCAUGAAGCUGGAAUCCGUAGUAAUCGCGUAUCAACAUUGCGCGGUGAAUACGUCCCUGCUCCUUGCACACACCGCCCGUCAAACCAUGCGAGUGAGGUCUGGGUGAGGGCGUGAUUUCUAUCACGUUCGAACCUGGGCUUCGCAAGUGGGGUU
rnacentral:rRNA from 1 species